rnacentral:rRNA from 1 species
UCCUACGGGAGGCAGCAGUAGGGAAUCUUCCGCAAUGGACGAAAGUCUGACGGAGCAACGCCGCGUGUGUGAAGAAGGUCUUCGGAUCGUAAAGCACUGUUAUUAGAGAAGAACAACCGGUAGAGUAACUGUUACCGGCUUGACGGUAUCUAACCAGAAAGCCACGGCUAACUACGUGCCAGCAGCCGCGGUAAUACGUAGGUGGCAAGCGUUGUCCGGAUUUAUUGGGCGUAAAGGGAGCGCAGGCGGUGACUUAAGUCUGAUGUGAAAGCCCACGGCUCAACCGUGGAAGGUCAUUGGAAACUGGGUCACUUGAGUGCAGAAGAGGAAAGUGGAAUUCCAUGUGUAGCGGUGAAAUGCGUAGAUAUAUGGAGGAACACCGGUGGCGAAAGCGGCUCUCUGGCUUGUAACUGACGCUGAGGCUCGAAAGCGUGGGGAGCAAACAGGAUUAGAUACCCUGGUAGUCCACGCCGUAAACGAUGAGUGCUAGGUGUUAGACCCUUUCCGGGGUUUAGUGCCGUAGCUAACGCAUUAAGCACUCCGCCUGGGGAGUACGACCGCAAGGUUGAAACUCAAAUGAAUUGACGG